rnacentral:lncRNA from 1 species
GGAUUCUACCUGGCAAGAACUUCAGUGGCUGUGCCUGUGGUGAGGGACUGUUUUCUGCUCUUAUCACAUCUGUGUUGACAUUCGUGGAACAAAUACUCAUUGAGAGCCUUUUAUGUCCCAAGCACUGUGCUGGGGAAUGCAGUUAGAAAAUAAUGAGUCCAACCAGACCUGGUUCCUGCCUUCAUGGAACUUACAUGUAGGAAAGACGGAAGCUGCAACUUAUCCAGCUCUGCAGGAGUGGUGUGAGGUCUGCAGUUUGGGUCUGGAAUCAAGUCUCCUAUUGUUGCAGGCCUUUGACGCUCAUCCUGACUCCUGACUGAUGAAUUAUUUGGUCGACUGAGGCAGAAUCACCUUUACUGGAGCAUAAUCUGUUGGAGGCAGCAUCUCCUGAAGUCUCCAUGAGUUGCUGGAAUGAAGAAAUGUGUCAUAUGUGAACCAAAACACAUGUAAAAAUUGUUGACAAUAGCACCAUUUGUAAAAGACUAAAACUGGAAACCACCAAAUGAUCAGCAACAGAGAAUAAAAAAUUAUGGCUUAUUUCUACAAUGGAUUGCUAUGCUGCAGUAAGAAUGAAUGAACAGCAGCUACACACAACCGGUAUGGAUGAAUCUCAUGAACACAAUGUGAAGGGAAAGAAGGCAGAAACAUACUUAUCACACCCUCCAUUUAUAUAAAACUCAGAGACAAAACAAAUUUAUGGUGUUAGGAGUCAGGUUCCUUUGGGGAAGAGAGAGGGAGUAGUACCUGAAUGGAGGGGGCAUGGAGGGGGCUUCGGGCAUGCUGGUAAGAUUUUUGUUUUGUUUUUAAUCUGAGUGAUAUAGGUGGUAGUUACUUUUUGAUGUUACAUCGAGCUGUACACUUAUGAUCUGUUCA